GGCUGCAGCACAAGAGAGCAUCUCAUGGAGUUGGGAACCCAGGGGGUUCACGAUGAGGGGCCAUCCCACAGAAACAUGGGCCAUCCACCAAGUCUUCCUGCUCCCGGGAGGCCAGGAGCUUGUGGCUUCUCAGGCGGUAGGAUCAAACAGAUGCAGUAAUCACGAGCGUGCACGCCUCCUCAGGAAGCCCCCACAUUCCAGGAGCAGCUCCAAACGCACUGAGUCAUCGCCUCCUGCCUCGGCAUCUCGCACGUACCUCUCGCAAACCACACGUCCCACACCCACAGCACCUCAUGCUGGCAUAUAUAGACCCUGACCUGCUAACAGUCAUUCUCACUUAUCCCCCUCCCACACGGUCCAAACAACUCCAGCUGCUGAGAAUCCCAGUGCU
ensembl:processed_transcript